UAGCGUUGUCCGGAAUCAUUGGGCGUAAAGAGCGUGUAGGCGGCCCGGUAAGUCCGCUGUGAAAGUCGGGGGCUCAACCCUCGAAUGCCGGUGGAUACUGUCGGGCUAGAGUGCGGAAGAGGCGAGUGGAAUUCCUGGUGUAGCGGUGAAAUGCGCAGAUAUCAGGAGGAACACCAAUUGCGAAGGCAGCUCGCUGGGACGUAACUGACGCUGAGACGCGAAAGCGUGGGGAGCAAACAGG
rnacentral:rRNA from 1 species